rnacentral:rRNA from 1 species
AUGCAACGAACAUCCGAAUCAAGUGCAGCAGCUCCUCAGAGACAACGGUUCAUGAGAACUGGAGAUUCACCACAAAGCAGUAUAUUUGGUAUGAUCAAAAAGAUCAAUCUCCAGCAAGCUAUUGAAGCCCAUCCUGCUCUUCUUUUCAAGCAACAGCUCACAGCUUACCUUGAGAAGACGUAUCGAAUGAUAAGAGACAAUUUGAAGAGAGAGAUAUCUCCAUUUCUUGGUCAUUGCAUUCAGGCACCGAGAACAGCUCGCAUAAGUCGGACUCAUGGAGCUUCUGUUGCAAACGUCUUGGCCCAGCAGAUCGGCCAUUGGCAGAGUAUUGUGAAAAUAAUAACAAACUACCUGGGUGUUUUGAAAUCCAAUUAUGUUCCUUCAUUCUUAAUCUGCAAGCUGUUCGGUCAAAUAUUUUCAUUCAUUAAUGUCCAGUUGUUCAUGAGCGUGCUUCUCCGAGGAGAGUGCUGUUCAUUUAGCCACGGAGAAUAUGUCAAGGCUGGAUUGGCAGAGUUAGAACAGUGGAUCAUUGAUGCGACUGAAGAGUAUGCAGGCUGUUCCUGGGAAGAACUGAAGCACAUUAGGCAGGCUGUUGAAUUCCUUCAUUAG